rnacentral:rRNA from 1 species
AUUAAACGCUGGCGGCAUGCCUUACACAUGCAAGUCGAACGGCAGCACGGGGGCAACCCUGGUGGCGAGUGGCGAACGGGUGAGUAAAGCAUCGGAACGUGCCCUGGAGUGGGGGAUAACGUAGCGAAAGUUACGCUAAUACCGCAUAUUCUGUGAGCAGGAAAGCAGGGGAUCGCAAGACCUUGCGCUCUGGGAGCGGCCGAUGUCGGAUUAGCUAGUUGGUGGGGUAAAGGCCUACCAAGGCGACGAUCCGUAGCGGGUCUGAGAGGAUGAUCGCCACACUGGGACUGAGACACGGCCCAGACUCCUACGGGAGGCAGCAGUGGGGAAUUUUGGGACAAUGGGCGAAAGCCUGAUCCAGCCAUGCCGCGUGAGUGAAGAAGGCCUCGG